CUUUAAAAGCUCAAUAAUACAAAACCUGGUACAGAAUUUGGCUUUUUUCAGCCUUUUUCUUGGCUGCUCCAACAGCAUUCUCAAGUCCUGGUAUACUAUGCUGACACAGCAAUUUGAAAAAGUGUUUAAUUGCAGGACAGGUUGCACUACAUACCUGAUCUGAGUUUCUACAGAACAUUAAAUAAUUAUUUAAGUUGCACGCUUCUCAAUGGUUCCCAGGAAACUUAGAUCUAGGCAUAUAUUUUAUAGAGUAUCAUACAGUGUUGACUAUGCAAAUAAGUUCUAAAGUUACACAAUUAUCUCUGUAAUGUCCUAGUCCAAUUACUGUAAGUGACCCAUUGUGCUCUAAUUCUGAAGUGACCUAGAAUUGUCACAAUGCCUCAGUUUAUGGAUAUACGUUCUAAUGUGUAAGGCGAAGCAAUCUAAGUUUCUAAAUAGAUGACACAUAAAAAUAAAAUCAAAGCACUAAAACAAACAACAAAAAAUC
rnacentral:lncRNA from 1 species